UGCCCAGAAUGUGUAGCAACACUCCCGAGGAUGUGACAUUAUUGUGAAAUUAAAGUAUUUUUGCACUAUUAGUUUUGGUUGAAAACUGAAGUUGUUCCCACAGAGCUGAAGAGAAUAUACAAUUCUAAAAAUAGGAACCAAUCACAUGUUAAGAUAGACACUUUUGGCAUUGAUGAAGUGAGAAAUAGGGGAAGAGUUGGUGUACGUGUUGAUUGUAGAGCCUGUGGAAGGAAGAAAUACAAGAAAAUGAGGGAGUUCACGGAAGGAUAAGAUCCACAAAAUGUCUUAAAGGAAAGUUUGAUUUGUCUCACUCCUGACGCUGAUCAGUUUCACAAACUAUUUUGCUUAGUUCAAAACAUCCCAUGGGCUCCGAGCGUAUCGGUCAUGACGGAGUGGGUGGGAUCAGAGGAAGGAUUGGUUUGGCACUGAAUAUAAAUAUCAGAACAGAAACAAAAAAAAAUGAUAAUGUUAUUAGUAAUUACCAAUUUCAAAAAGUUGUUUUUAACAUUUUGUACAUUUUUAUGUGAUCCAAAUCUUUCAAGAAUUUUUUCAGUCAGAGGAUCUACUUUGAUCUUAUUUUGACAUUAAGAGUUUACAAAAGGCUACAAAAAAGCUAAUAUAUCAAAGUCUAUUUGAUGUUAGGUGAUGAUAAAUUUGAGGUAUUUUUUUUAAGACAGCUGACUGCAUUUGUUGACUUGGUAGCACCAAGAGUGUUUGCUACAGAUGUUAU